rnacentral:lncRNA from 1 species
CAUUUGCAUAGCUCUCUAAAGUCUUUCCCCUGAUUGCUUAGAGCGCAUCUUUCCUCCUUGCUAAUGCCCUCAAUCAGGGGUAGUCAUAGACCUGAGCAGCCUCUGCAGUUGGGAAGGUGGGCCUGGCAGGCCCUGUGGGAUCUCAGCCCUGCUAUGUAAGCUGUGGAGCUCUUCCUGGUUAGGGAGAGUGUGCAUGGGGGUCACUAGCCCCAUAGGAAACUAGAGAGAUGGAGACAGACUUAAACAGCACAAAGAAACCA